rnacentral:snRNA from 1 species
AUGCUCGCUUCAGCAGCACAUAUACUAAAAUUGGAAUGAUUCACAGAUUAGCAUUGCCCCUGUGCAAGGAUGGCACACAGGUUCAUGAAGCAUUCCGUAUUAAA